GUGCUUGCUUCAGCAGCUCAUAGGCUAAAAUUGGAACAAUACGGAAAAGAUCACAUGGCCCUGUGCACAGAUGACACACGAAUUCAGGAAGCAUCGCAGUUAUUU